rnacentral:lncRNA from 1 species
UUGAUUGUGCGGGCUGGGAUUCAGAGACGUCUGGACUUGCGAUGCUACUGGUGCGGGCGUGUGGUGCAGAGACGUUUGUACCAUGCACGCUACUUGAGAGGGCAGGGGUACAGAGACAUACUGUACUAGCGACGCUACAUAUUAUAUAUCCAUAUGAGGAGAUGCGGGGUGUAUGGACUAGCUAUAUGCUAUCAUCGCAUUGUUUGGUUUGUGUGAUGUGCUAGGCGUCGUGUGUGUUCAUGUUAGUGCUAAACUUCCAUAGUGGGAGUUCUAUUUACUCAAGUCAGUGGUU